CCCGUGCCCGGGAGCGCGAGCCGCGGAGGAGGACGGCGGCGACAAGAUGGCGUCGCUCCCGGGACGGGACGGCGGCUUCACGGCCUGGUGUCGGGACCCGGCUGAGGAGACUCCCCGAGAGGGGCAAGCCUCCCCGGCGUGCGCCGCCCUCCGGAGACGAGCGGACGUGCGCUGCCUCCAGGGGCUCGGGCUGCGAGGGUCCGGCUAAACCCAGGCGCCGACGACAAGCCGCUGCUGGAGCGGGGUGCACUGGACACAGGAGUGACCCAUCCAUCGCACAGAACACCAAGUUCAUGCAGACUCAAAGCCCCCCAUCAGAGUCUUCGAGAAUAGGCAAACUGAAUUCUAUAGUUUCUUUUAAUUUUUUUUUCUUUUAAAGACUAUUUUUAUUCUUUGACAGUUUCAUGCGUGUAUACAAUGAACUGUGAUCAUAACACCCCAUUCUUCCACC
rnacentral:lncRNA from 1 species